rnacentral:rRNA from 1 species
AUAUUAUUAAGCGGAGGAAAAGAAACUAACAAGGAUUCCCCUAGUAAUGGCGAAUGAAGAGGGAACAGCUCAAGAUUGAAUCGGGUGUCUAAACGGGCAUCUGAGUUGUAAUCUAGAGAACGUGUGAUCAACCACGUGUACCCGGGCAUAACUCUUUGGAAAAAGGGAUCAUGGAGGGUGAGAAUCCCGUCUAUGACUCGGUGUUCGCUGUGUUUGAGCAUACGGUCUAAGAGUCGACUAGCUUGGGAUUGCUGGUCAAAGCAGGUGGUAAACUUCAUCUAAAGCUAAAUACCGGCCAGAGACCGAUAGCACACAAGUACCGUGAGGGAAAGGUGAAAAGAACUUUGAAAAGAGAGUUAAACAGUAUCUGAAAUUGCUAAGAGGUGACCGGUGGAAACCAGCCAUAUUCCUCGGGCUAUACUUACUACUUUGCUGGUGUAGGAUCUAAGUGUCAUUUCCUCCCGGUAUGGCAUGAAAAUCCUGCGUCCAGUGGGUGGGUCCUGUAGUUCGGGGAGCGUCAGAAUCAUUUCUCUUCGCCGGAGAAGCUCCAGGGAAAGAUAGGAAGCGGGGGGUUUCUUCCGUUUCUGUUAUAGUCCUUGGCCUAUACGGUGGAGGGGAUUGA